rnacentral:rRNA from 1 species
GACGAACGCUGGCGGCGUGCUUAACACAUGCAAGUCGAACGGAAAGGCCCUGCUUUUGUGGGGUGCUCGAGUGGCGAACGGGUGAGUAACACGUGAGUAACCUGCCCUUGACUUUGGGAUAACUUCAGGAAACUGGGGCUAAUACCGGAUAGGAGCUCCUGCUGCAUGGUGGGGGUUGGAUAUUUUCGGCGGUUGGGGAUGGACUCGCGGCUUAUCAGCUUGUUGGUGGGGUAGUGGCUUACCAAGGCUUUGACGGGUAGCCGGCCUGAGAGGGUGACCGGCCACAUUGGGACUGAGAUACGGCCCAGACGCGUACGGGAGGCAGCAGUGGGGAAUAUUGCACAAUGGGCGGAAGCCGGAUGCAGCAACGCCGCGUGCGGGAUGACGGCCUUCGGGUUGUAAACCGCUUUCGCCUGUGACGAAGCGUGAGUGACGGUAAUGGGUAAAGAAGCACCGGCUAACUACGUG